rnacentral:rRNA from 1 species
GAGUACUACGAGCCACAGCUUAAAACUCAAAGGACUUGGCGGUGUCCUACACCCGCCUAGAGGAGCCUGUUCUAUAAUUGAUACUCCCCAAUAAACCUCACCACCCUUUGCCCAACAGCCUAUAUACCACCGUCACAAGCUCACCCUUUAAGGGAAUAAUAGUAAGCUAAAUAAUUUAAAAUUAAAAAGUCAGGUCAAGGUGUAGCACAUAGGGCGGAAAGAAAUGGGCUACAUUUUCUCCAUAGAAAAUACGAAAUGAUAACUGAAAUAAAACAUGAAGGAGGAUUUAGUAGUAAAGAGAAACAAGAGUGUUCCCUUUAAAUUGGCAAUAGGACAAGCACACACCGCCCGUCACCCUCUCCAAAUACCUUUAAAAACUUAAAUAAAGCAAUAUAUAUAUAAGAAGAGGAAAGUCGUAACAUGGUAAGUCUACCGGAAGGUGGCCUUGGAAU